rnacentral:rRNA from 1 species
AGUGAACGCUGGCGGUAGGCCUAACACAUGCAAGUCGAACGGCAGCACAGUAAGAGCUUGCUCUUACGGGUGGCGAGUGGCGGACGGGUGAGGAAUACAUCGGAAUCUACUUUUUCGUGGGGGAUAACGUAGGGAAACUUACGCUAAUACCGCAUACGACCUACGGGUGAAAUCAGGGGAUCUUCGGACCUUGCGCGAUUGAAUGAGCCGAUGUCGGAUUAGCUAGUUGGCGGGGUAAAGGCCCACCAAGGCGACGAUCCGUAGCUGGUCUGAGAGGAUGAUCAGCCACACUGGAACUGAGACACGGUCCAGACUCCUACGGGAGGCAGCAGUGGGGAAUAUUGGACAAUGGGCGCAAGCCUGAUCCAGCAAUACCGCGUGAGUGAAGAAGGCCUUCGGGUUGUAAAGCCCUUUUGUUGGGAAAGAAAAGCAGCAGGUUAAUACCCCGCUGUUCUGACGGUACCCAAAGAAAAAGCACCGGCUAACUUCGUG